rnacentral:misc_RNA from 1 species
CAGAGAAUAUCGCCCUCACGGGUGACUCUCCUACCCAAUGUUAUUCUAUCUUUGUUGCUUUGGCGAGCCGCCUUGGCCACCGGCUCACGCUGGUGAGUGCUCGCCAGAGGACCCAAAACUCUGAAUUUAAAGUAUUGUCUGAGUACUAUAUAAUAGUUA